GUCGUAACAAGGUUUCCGUAGGUGAACCUGCGGAAGGAUCAUUGACACGAAUCCACAUUAAAACCUGCAUUGACGGUGAUCUUCGGAUCAUGGGCUUGGAGCGGUGCGCUUCGUGCGCAUUGGCUACUCGUCACGUCGAACCUUUUUUCUAACCAUAUUCGUAAACAAAGCUUGAAAUAUCUUACAACUUUUAGCAAUGGAUGUCUCGGCUUUAGCAACGAUGAAGGACGCCGCAAAAUGCGAUAGGCGCUGUGAAUGGCAGAAUUCCGCGAAUCAAGAGAAUGCUGAACGCAUACUGCGCUCUCAGGUCAGUCCUGGGAGUAUGUUUUGCUGAGGGCAUUUAUACUUUAAUGCAAUCAAUCAUGCAGCUAUCUGCUAGUUGAUUUGCGUUCUUGUGCGACAGCGACGUCUAACCGUUGUCGCAUUAAAAUAAGUGUUUUCACUCCUAGUAUUCCGUAAGGUGACUUUCACAUGUAAUUCGUGAGAACGGAUGGAGACACUUCAAAGCAAUCGAGAGCUUCGGCUUUCUGUUCUUGCAUCAGCUGAAACAAGGCUACCCGCUGAAUUUAAGCAUAUAAGUAAGCGGAGGAAAAGAAAAUGAUCAUGAUUCCCUUAGUAAGGGCGACUGAACCGGGAAGAGCUCAAAUUGUAAAUCAGAAACUUUGUUUCUGAAUUGUAGUCUUGCGAAGUAUUACCAUUGUGAUCUACUGCCUAAGUCCCUUUGGAAGAAGGCGUCAGAGAGGGUGAGAAUCCCGUGCUGGUGGCCAGAUCACAUUGUCGGUGUGCUUUUUUUGAGUCGCGUACUUUGGACGUGGUGCGCUAAAUGGGAGGUAAUCUUCUUCUAAAGCUAAAUAUAGGCUAAAGACCGAUAGCACACAAGUACCGUGAGGGAAAGAUGAAAAGGACUUUGGAAAGAGAGUUAAAAGUGCCUGAAAUUGCUGAGAGGGAAGCGAAUGAAACCAGUGUCUUACUACGAGAUUGUUGUAAGCCAAGGCGAAUGCUUGUUUCGGCACCGCAAGGGUCGGGAUGGGUUUGGAUCUGGAAGCUUGCAGUGUUUCUCGUGGAAAGGUGUCAACAUAAGUUGGGUGCUCGGGGAUAAUCGCUGAAAGUCUGGGAUCGCUGCGGUGUGACCUGGCUUAGGUGGAGACCCUUCCCGACUUAGGAAUGCGUUCUGUUUUUACGGCUGCAUAAUCGUUGCAAAGAUUUCCUCGACUUCUAAAGUGGUGGUUAUUUAGUGGCGAUGAGUGGUUUUAUUGCAGUUCCAGGAUGUUGACGAAAUGGUUUUUUUCUACCCGUCUUGAAACACGGACCAAGGAGUCGACUUCUAUCGCGAGUAUGCGGGUUGUAAACCUGUAUGCGGAAUGAAAGUAACAGUUUGGAUUUUUUUGUUUUGCACAAACGACCGACUUCGAUCUUCUGAGAGAGGUUUGAGUAUGAGCGAUAAGGGUCGGACCCGAAAGAUGGUGAACUAUGCGUGA
rnacentral:rRNA from 1 species